rnacentral:rRNA from 1 species
GACGAACGCUGGCGGCGUGCUUAACACAUGCAAGUCGAACGGAAAGGCCCUGCUUGCAGGGUACUCGAGUGGCGAACGGGUGAGUAACACGUGGGUGAUCUGCCCUGCACUUCGGGAUAAGCUUGGGAAACUGGGUCUAAUACCGGAUAGGAGCCAUCUUUAGUGUGGUGGUUGGAAAGUUUUUUCGGUGUAGGAUGAGCUCGCGGCCUAUCAGCUUGUUGGUGGGGUAAUGGCCUACCAAGGCGGCGACGGGUAGCCGGCCUGAGAGGGUGUACGGCCACAUUGGGACGGAGAUACGGCCCAGACUCCUACGGGAGGCAGCAGUGGGGAAUAUUGCACAAUGGGCGCAAGCCUGAUGCAGCGACGCCGCGUGGGGGAUGAAGGCCUUCGGGUUGUAAACUCCUUUCGCUAGGGACGAAGCGUUUUUGUGACGGUACCUAGAGAAGAAGCACCGGCUAACUACGUG